CCUACGGGUGGCAGCAGUGGGGAAUAUUGGACAAUGGGCGAAAGCCUGAUCCAGCCAUGCCGCGUGUGUGAAGAAGGCCUUCGGGUUGUAAAGCACUUUCAGUGGGGAAGAAAGCCUUGGGGCUAAUACCCUCGAGGAAGGACAUCACCCACAGAAGAAGCACCGGCUAACUCCGUGCCAGCAGCCGCGGUAAUACGGAGGGUGCGAGCGUUAAUCGGAAUUACUGGGCGUAAAGCGCGCGUAGGCGGUCUGAUAAGCCGGUUGUGAAAGCCCCGGGCUCAACCUGGGAACGGCAUCCGGAACUGGCAGGCUAGAGUGCAGGAGAGGAAGGUAGAAUUCCCGGUGUAGCGGUGAAAUGCGUAGAGAUCGGGAGGAAUACCAGUGGCGAAGGCGGCCUUCUGGACUGACACUGACGCUGAGGUGCGAAAGCGUGGGUAGCAAACAGGAUUAGAUACCCUAGUA
rnacentral:rRNA from 1 species